AAAAUUAGAUGUAUCAUAAUUUGAAUUUUGCUUCGGGCUCUGCAAUAGCGUUAAAGCCGGUUUUUCAGUGUACUGGGGGAAAUUUGGGUUCAAGGAAUGUGGAGAUAUCGAUGGAUUUUCAGCACCAGUAAAAGUAUUAAACUGACCGCUUUCCUCACGAAGAGCGUAAGUUGCGUCAGCUUCCUCGAUCUUAACAACAGAAUUUACCGAAGAUUGUUGGUAAGAGUCCGUUUGAGUAGUCUCCAAACCGACAAACUUUGUGUUGGGAACUGGACCUUGAUUGCUCUGUAAGGAUUCAUUUGCAUGCUUCCAAGUGUUCCCUUGAUGAUUUAUAGGUAAAUGGGGGUGAUGUGUGAUUGAUAAAUCCGUUGAAUCAUGUAAAGAGUUUUUGACUUCAAAAGGAUCAAUGGAUGGAUCCCAGCUACUUGAGUACUGUCGGGAGUGAUCCUGCGCUUGUGUAAACCAAUGAUUUGAUUCUAGUGGGCCUAAUUCCGUAUUGAUGGAGGAGUCAAUAGAGUUACGUGCCAACAUAGGUUUGUCAGCAACGUCUUGGUUAAGAUUGAAGGCAGUAGAAGCGUCCAUUGAAUUGGAAUUGACUUGAUAUGGAUACGCAGACGCCAUAGAGUAAGAUCGUGGUAUACCACGAGUUCCUACAGAGGGCACGUGGCUUAUAGGGUAUGAAGAAGAUGCUGAAGACGAAACUAUGGAUGGGUGCUUGAAAUCCAUGAUAUUUGAGCCAUCCACAUAACUGGAUGGAUCAGCGUUUUCAGUGGGAUUGGAAAUCGCAGUGUUUUCGAGUUGACGAUGAAUAUCCUUGAGCGACGAGUGUUGGGAAGGACACAUAGCGAAGCGAAUACCAAACAGUCGUUUUGGA